UACGGGGGGGGCAAGCGUUGUUCGGAAUUACUGGGCGUAAAGGGCUCGUAGGUGGCCAACUAAGUCAGACGUGAAAUCCCUCGGCUUAACCGGGGAACUGCGUCUGAUACUGGAUGGCUUGAAUCCGGGAGAGGGAUGCGGAAUUCCAGGUGUAGCGGUGAAAUGCGUAGAUAUCUGGAGGAACACCGGUGGCGAAGGCGGCAUCCUGGACCGGCAUUGACGCUGAGGUGCGAAAGCGUGGGGAGCAAACAGG
rnacentral:rRNA from 1 species